rnacentral:rRNA from 1 species
UACGAAGGGGGCUAGCGUUGCUCGGAAUCACUGGGCGUAAAGCGCACGUAGGCGGAUCGUUAAGUCAGGGGUGAAAUCCUGGAGCUCAACUCCAGAACUGCCUUUGAUACUGGCGAUCUUGAGUUCGGGAGAGGUGAGUGGAACUGCGAGUGUAGAGGUGAAAUUCGUAGAUAUUCGCAAGAACACCAGUGGCGAAGGCGGCUUACUGGUCCGGUUCUGGACGCUGAGGCGCGAAACGUGGGGAGCAACAGG